CCUUGUAGUCUAGAGGUACGAUACUUGCUUUGGGAUUCAAUUGCAAGUGGCCUGGGUUCGAAUCCCAGCAAGGC
rnacentral:tRNA from 1 species